rnacentral:rRNA from 1 species
GUGUACGGCCAUACCACCCUGAAUGUGUCGGAUCUCACCUGAAGCUAAGCAGGGUCAGACCUGGUUAGUAUUUGGAUGGGAAAAAGGUGUUUUUCUUG